rnacentral:rRNA from 1 species
UACGGAGGAGGCAAGCGUUAUCCGGAAUUAUUGGGCGUAAAGCGUCCGUAGGUGGCUCUCUCAAGUCUGCGGUCAAAGACCGGGGCUCAACCCUGGAAAGGCCGUGGAAACUGGUGAGCUAGAGUGCGGUAGGGGCAGAGGGAAUUCCCGGUGUAGCGGUGAAAUGCGUAGAUAUCGGGAGGAACAUCAGUGGCGAAGGCGGCUGCCUGGCCCAAUACUGACACUCGAGGUGCGACAGCGGUGGGGAGCAAACAGG